rnacentral:rRNA from 1 species
CCCGCUGAACUUAAGCAUAUCAAUAAGCGGAGGAAAAGAAACCAACAGGGAUUCCCCCAGUAACGGCGAGUGAAGAGGGAAAAGCUCAAAUUUUGAAUCUGGUGUCUUUGGCGCCCGAGUUGUAAACUAGAGAAGUGUUUUCUGUGUCGGUCCAUGCACAAGUCCCCUGGAACGGGGUGUCAUAGAGGGUGAGAAUCCCGUAUAUGGCAUGGACCCUGACACUCUGUGAUACACUCUCAACGAGUCGAGUUGUUUGGGAAUGCAGCUCAAAAUGGGUGGUGAAUUCCAUCUAAAGCUAAAUAUUGGCGAGAGACCGAUAGCGAACAAGUACCGUGAGGGAAAGAUGAAAAGCACUUUGGAAAGAGAGUGAAACAGUACGUGAAAUUGUUGAAAGGGAAGCGUUUGAAGUCAGUCGUGUCGUUCGGAAUUCAGUCUGGCUUCUGCCUGGCGUACUUUCCAUUCGACAGGUCAGCAUCAGUUUCGAUCGGGGGAAAAAGGCAUGGGGAAUGUGGCUGUCUUCGGGCAGUGUUAUAGCCCCAUGUUGUAUGCCUCGAUUGGGACUGAGGAAUGCAGCGCGCCUAUUGGCCGGGGGUUCGCGCCCCUCGGUACGCGCUUAGGAUGCUGGCAUAAUGGCUUUAAGCGACCCGUCUUGAAACACGG